CAAAGAGUAAAAAGAGAAAAACAACAGAAAAUUAUUUUUGUUGAUAAUUUGUACCUGUAAUUUUGCUACUGUUAUGAAUAGUAAUGUAAAUAUUCAUGUUUUCUGACGAUUUUAGAUGACCCAUUCAUGUCAUUUAAUCCUCAAAGGAGUCGUGGCCCACAGGUUGAGAACCACUGUCCUGGAGUGUGGCCAAAUAGGAGAUUAUUGAGAACAGAAUGAAUUCAUGCUUGCUCCUGCUCUGAAGACUCCAGCAUUAUGGGCUGGAAUAAGGAUUCCUGGUCUGGAAUGUACAGGGAUUAAUGAAUACAUCCUCCAGCAGAGAUGCUUGGCCAUUUUGCCCAUGGUAAAUGAGCUCAUGCUCCGUGCCCCAUGGGUUCUGCUGUGCCCUAAAGGAACAGCCCAGGCUAAGUAUGGAACAGAAAAUAACUCCAGCCUUGAAAUGAGAGGCAGACCAGUAAGUCGUGCUCAGUGCUCAAAUCACAAACACAAAUUAAUGGUCUGUCUCCUUGCAAUGCAAAGGAGAUGCCAUGAGUUUGAGUCACAGAGAAAUGGACAGCAGCACCUUUCCGUAUCCUCCUGGAUGUUUAAGGAGCCUCUCGCUUCUUAUUCUUUUCAAACACAAAGUCAUCUGUUUGGAGAAAAAUAAAAUGGCUCUAAAGUUAAAGAGUCCCCAGAGAAAACCAG